rnacentral:rRNA from 1 species
CAAGUCGAGGGGCAUCAGUUUGGUUUGCUUGCAAACCAAAGCUGGCGACCGGCGCACGGGUGAGUAACACGUAUCCAACCUGCCUCAUACUCGGGGAUAGCCUUUCGAAAGAAAGAUUAAUAUCCGAUAGCAUAUAUUUCCCGCAUGGGUUUUAUAUUAAAGAAAUUCGGUAUGAGAUGGGGAUGCGUUCCAUUAGUUUGUUGGCGGGGUAACGGCCCACCAAGACUACGAUGGAUAGGGGUUCUGAGAGGAAGGUCCCCCACAUUGGAACUGAGACACGGUCCAAACUCCUACGGGAGGCAGCAGUGAGGAAUAUUGGUCAAUGGACGCGAGUCUGAACCAGCCAAGUAGCGUGAAGGAUGACUGCCCUAUGGGUUGUAAACUUCUUUUAUAUGGGAAUAAAGUGGUCCACGUGUGGAUUUUUGUAUGUACCAUAUGAAUAAGGAUCGGCUAACUCCGUGCCAGCAGCCGCGGUAAUACGGAGGAUCCGAGCGUUAUCCGGAUUUAUUGGGUUUAAAGGGAGCGUAGGCGGAUUGUUAAGUCAGUUGUGAAAGUUUGCGGCUCAACCGUAAAAUUGCAGUUGAUACUGGCAGUCUUGAGUGCAGUAGAGGUGGGCGGAAUUCGUGGUGUAGCGGUGAAAUGCUUAGAUAUCACGAAGAACUCCGAUUGCGAAGGCAGCUCACUGGAGUGUAACUGACGCUGAUGCUCG